rnacentral:rRNA from 1 species
UACGUAGGGGGCAAGCGUUGUCCGGAUUCAUUGGGCGUAAAGAGCGUGUAGGCGGCCAGGUAGGUCGGUUGUGAAAACUGGAGGCUCAACCUUCAGAGGUCGACCGAAACCAUCUGGCUAGAGUCCGGGAGAGGAGAGUGGAAUUCCUGGUGUAGCGGUGAAAUGCGCAGAUAUCAGGAAGAACACCCGUGGCGAAGGCGGC